rnacentral:rRNA from 1 species
UACGUAGGGGCAAGCGUUGUCCGGAAUCAUUGGGCGUAAAGAGCGUGUAGGCGGCUUGGCAAGUCUGGUGUGAAAUCUUGCGGCUCAACCGCAAGCGGUCACUGGAAACUGCCUCGCUAGAGUCCGGAAGAGGAGAGCGGAAUUCCUGGUGUAGCGGUGGAAUGCGCAGAUAUCAGGAAGAACACCCGUGGCGAAGGCGGCUCUCUGGGACGGUACUGACGCUGAGACGCGAAAGCGUGGGGAGCGAACAGG